CCAUCCUCUGAUCACCCCUGGGUGAUCUGCUGUGUCCUCAUUAAUGAGCUCAGGAUUGUCCUAAAAGGGUGGGUUUCCAGAAUAAGCCCCGCAGAGUAUCUAAGGACUCCUCAGCUCCUUGGGACAGGCAAUGUUCAGACAGCCUAUCAUUGUAAAGGUUUGCAGCCCUGGCCAGGGAGGCUGGGCCCCUGUGAGACCUUUUGCUAUACUUGAUGUGGUGGUUUGAACAGGUUUGGCCCCCAUAGAUUCCUGUGUUUGAAUGCUUGGUCCAUAGGGAGUGGCACUAUUAGGAAGUGUGGCCUUGUUGGAGUAGGUGUGGCCUCUCUGGAGGAAGUAUGACACUGUAGGGGUGGGCUUUGAGGCUAUAUAUGCUCAAGCUAUGUCCAGUGUGGCUCACAGUCUCCUUCUGCUGUCUGUGGAUCAACAAGUAGAACUCUCAGCUCCUUCUCCAGCACCAUGUCUGCCUGCAUGCUGCCAUGUUUCCCACCAUAGUGAUAAUAAACUAAACCUCUGAACCCAUAAGCCAGCCCCAAUUAAAUGCUCUCCUUUUUUAGAGUUGCCGUGAACACGAUGUCUCAUCACAGCAAUGGAAACCCUAAGUUUAAGUAGUGGCCGAGCAGGGGUAGUAGGAGCCUGAGUGAAGGAGGCUGGAAGAAAAUGGCUUUGGAGCUGAGCCACUGGCUCUGCUCCCGGGGAAGGCAUGUGCACCUGUUCUAACAUCUCAUUUUCCCCAGAAAGAUGGAACAGGGUUUUUUUUUUGGGGGGGUGUGUGUAUGACAGGUGUUCUGUGUACAGCAAAUGUAGAAAUGUUAUCCCAGCCAGCUGGAGCAAUGUCAUAAUGGGGACCCAGGUGAGGUUGAGAACGGCAGGAAACACUGAGUUUCCCUGCAGCAAAAGGGCUUGCCUGGGAGGAGUGCAAAUGAAGAAGUGAGGAUGAGGACCCUGUCCCUGGAGGGGACAGGAUGUUGCUUCUGGAGACAAAGCACCCAUCUCAAUUCUGUAACAGGAUCAGAUAUAAAUCACAGAUCUGCAUAAUGAGAAGAUAUAGUACAUUAGAGAAAUGCAAACUGGACACUACACUCUGACGUCAAACUAGUAAGUGGAGGAAGAGGGACUUGGGGAAUCUCCAGCUUCAGUUCUAAGCGGCUUUCAGGUUUGGACAGCAGCUGGCUAUGGGAGGGGUUCAUCGGGCACCCUUGGGCCCAGGCUCUGGCCUGUGAGUGUGUCACUUGGCUUAUAGGCUGUGUGGCCCUCCUGAAGUCUGCACCCUUUCUGAACCUUGCUCAUCCUUAGGUCACAGCAUAGAGAAGCUCCGGCCAGUGGCAUCCCAGUUCCCUGCCCUUUCUACCUCCCUGUCCCUCAUUCUCAGGCCCUAUUGUCCUCCCAUGAGACAAAGCUAAGGGCAGCUGAAGGACCCCUUCUCCCCCCCCAAGGGUCACUUACAGGGUCUUCAGCACAGAGCAGAGGUCACUAGCGCCAUCAAAGAUGAUAACUGUGGUUGAGUGUAGAACCUGCCCCCCCAUGUCACCACUGACAUUAUGGGCAAAUGAUGUGACGCUCCUGCCUGAGAGACACAAGCAGUAGGCAUGCUGAGUGCCAGGGGAACCUCUCUGUAGCCAGGGCAGCCUUGGCUGCUGCCUGCAACCUUAGGAGCAGCCAGGACACGGGCCACAGGAUCCAAACAGGAUCACCCUGCAUGCACACUUCCUGCAGAGGGCAUGGGUGUACAUGAGGCAGCUGGCUAGCGAGCCAGGCAGGAAGGUCAGGAGCUGAAGGGGUCCUGAGAAACGACAUGAGACACAGCCCAUCACUCCAAGGCCUCGCUCCACUCCGGGGCAUCCGGCAAGUGUCUUGUGUUGGAGCGGCAUCUCCUCCUGGGGCUCCCCCUACCCUUGGAGCAUCCUCUUCCUUGGCCCAGCCACAACCUGUCAACCUGCCUGUGGACUGUAUAAUACGUGGCCACGUGUGUCUGGCAUCCUUCACUUUUGCAGUGUUUUCCAGGUCUAUGUGUGUUGUAGCAGGUGUCAGCAUCCUUCAUUGGGACUGAAGGUAGCCGACCCUCUGAAUCCACAGGACCCUGGCUCCAGACCCCAUGGCUCUGUCUGUGGAUGGGGAGUCUCUCGUAUAAAAGGUACUGUACAGAUUAUGAACAUUGCACACCAUUUCCUUACUGUCUCUUUAGAUUAUCGCCAGAAGAGAGCCACCCGAAUGGUCACACGGUUUAGGGAGUAUGUGCCAUAAACAUGACAAGCACUGCAGCCUGAGUACACAGAGCAUGUCAGCAGCAGUUAGCUGAAUCCCAGAUGUUGAAACUGUGGAUACAGGAGACCAGGGCCAUCUCUGAUGGGGACCGUGUGUGCUAGUCAUAUCAAGUUUUGUCAGCUUGAUACAAGCUAGAGUCACUGGGAAGAGGACCCUCAACUGAGGAACUGCCUAGAUAAGACUGGCCUGUGAACGAGUUGGUAAUUGUCUUGAUUGCUAAUGGGUGUAGGAGGGCCCAGCUGACUGUGGGCAGUGUCAUUCCCUAGGCAGGUCGUGUUGGGCUUUAUGAGAAAGCCAGUUGAGCAAGCCAGUAAGCAGCUUUGCUCUGUGCUUUCUGCCUUGAUUUUUCUCAUUGAUGAACUGUGACCUGGAAAUGUAAGCAAAAAAAAAAAAAAAAACCAACAACAAAACAAAAAACAAAAACAAAACACAAACAAAAACACAAAAAAACAAACAAAACGAAAGCCACUUUCCUCUCCAAGUUGCUUUUGGUCAAAGUGUUUUAUUACAGAAAAGAAAGAAAACUAGGACACCUUGGGUAUGGGGACCCAGGGCUGCUGUGCUAGUCUGCUGUAGGAUUUUAUCUGGUCAUGGGCUGCUCCACCCUAGAGUUCGCCCCAUGAAUGCUGCGUCAGGUGUCUAUCUCAAAUAGCCUGUGGGUGUUGCGUGUGGGGUAAAGUGUGUGCACCUGGAGGGCAGAGCAGGACUUCCAGUAUCUUUCUUUUUUGUUCUUCGCCUCACUUUUUGAGACAGGCUCUCUCACAGAACCAGAAGCUCGCUGUGUCAGCUAGGCUGGCUUGCUGUGUCAGCUAAUGAGUUCUUAGUCUCUGCCCAUCCUGGUACCAGGCACCUUCCCUCCACAAUACAGGAGUUGCAUGCAUUCACGGCCAUGCUUUAACAUGAGUUUUGGGGAUUUGACCUCGGUUCCUCAUGCUUGCUUAGCAAAUGUUCUACCCAAAGAGCAUCCUCCCUGCCCAGCUCAGUGUCUUCUGUGUAUACAGGAGCAGACUCGCUGGGUUAUUUGAACUAUUAGAACUAUUGUCAUGAACUAUUUGAGGAAGCAGGCACAGAUAUUGACAGGACUCUGGAGCUGUUCUCCCAAGACAUCGAUGCUGUGGUGUGGGGCCAGGCACAGGAUUGUGGGUCACAGGCUCUGUAUUUGGAUCUCCUUGAGGUACUACCAUGCCGUGUGACCUUGGUGAGUGUGUCUGUGUCCCUCUCUGUGUCUGUGUGUGUCUCCUUCUGGACACACCAGAUCUGGUGAGCACAAUGGGUGAUGGCGCGUGGCAGGAGCUUGGGUCUGUGUCUGGCUAGAGUGUAAAUGUAGUGGACCCAGAAGAAUCUGUUGAGGAACAUUGCCUCAGAGCCUGUCCCCACCCCUCCCAACAGGGAAGAUCCUGAAGCCUUCCUGCACAGUGCUGCACUUUGGAGGGGGACUUGGGCAAAGUGUGGCACGUGGAAGAGCUGUGAUGUACUCUGCUACGUGAGGGCCCUCAGCUGUACCCCCAAAGCAGUGGCCCCCCUCACUUAUCAAGCAGCUGAACUGAGUGGAAAAGCAGCGGCCUUGGGCCAGGAGGGCGCUAUCUCCUCAGGCUGCUGGUGCCAGCAGGAGCCUUCCCUGCACUGAUCCAGGAGCGGGCUUCGUUGGUUUGUGAGCGGCUGGCAUCUGAAUGUGAGGAGGCCAGAGGGAAACCUGCUGCUUUCCUUGAGGGUCGAGGCUUCUGUGAGUCUUUCCUGACGUGGACUGGACCCUUUCUGCUCAGAAAGCAGCGUGGAAUGCCCAGAACUGAAGUUCCAAACAGCAUCUUAAGGGCAGAAUCUGACUGAUAGGUGAGCAUGAAGUGGCCGUUCUGUCCCUGCCCCCCCCCCCACACCUGGCACGGAGAUCUGGGAGAGCGCUUCAGGCUGGCUCAGUGCAUCAACCUUGACGUGUCGGAAGGCCUUGCCCACAGGGCUCUGCAGGUGCCUGCAAGCCGGGAGCACAGGGCAAUGGGAGCUGGAGACACCAGGGACCACGACAACUUGACUCCGAUGGACAGCCACCGUGCUACCUAGCUCACCAUGGCCCACACAGAGAGCAGGAUUUAAGAGGCAUUUAAAACACCUGGUAUAGGGGGCGGGGGAGAUAGCUCAGCUGCACAUGACUCUGAAAACCUAAGUUCGACUCCCAGAAUCCGUGUGAAAACAAAACAAAAUGUCAGAUCCGGUCUCAAGAUAAUCAAUAUGGGAGCCAGAAAGAUGGCUCAGAGAUAAAGGUGCUUGAAACAGAGCCCGAUGCCCCAGGUUUGAUUCCCAGAACCUACACAAUGAAGGAGAGAACUCUGGCAAGUUAGCCCCUGGCCUUGUGCUGGCUAGUUUUUAUGUCAACUUGACACCAGCUAGGGCAGCUGAGAGGAGGGAGCUGCAGCUGAGAAAAUGCCUCUAUAGUCUAUGGCCAUACCACCCUGAACACGCCUGAUCUCGAAAGCUAAGCAGGGUCAGGCCUGGCUAGUUUUCUCCUUAGAUGGGAGAAAACACCUCUAUAAUGCAGGCAACCCUUUAGGGCGUUUUCUUAGUGAUUGAUGGGGGAGGUGUCAUCCCCGGGGCUAGUGGUCCUGCAUCCUAUGAGAAAGCAGGCUGAGCAAGCCAUGAGGAGCAAGCCAGUAAGCAGCACCCCUUCCUGGCUUCUGCAUCAGCUCCAGCCUCCAUGUUCCUGCCCUGUUUGAAUCCCUCCCCCGACUUCCUUUUAUGAUGAACAGUGAUAUGAAGUGCAAAUGAAACUAACCCUUUCCUCCUCAAGUGGCUUUGGCUAUGGUGUUCCAUCGCAGCAAUAGAAACCUAACUAAGGCAGACCCCACACACUCUAACCCGAUACAUACACACACAGAAGCUGGACACUCAACUCAGGAACAACACUCAAGACUGACCUCUGACCUACAGACACACCUAUACAGAUGUUCACACUCAAAACACCUGGUUUUCAAACCAAAGCACCCAGCCUGUGCAGGACUCACUUUUCUGCCUCUUUCAAUCCUUAAGACAACCCCAGGAAGCCCAAACCUGGGCUGAUAAGAGGAAAUUGAAGCUCAGGGAGGUACUGUUCCAGACUGAAUGACCUGCAGCUCAGGUAUGUCCCUUGAGCGACCUGGGAUGUCACUCCAUCUUAGAUGGUGCAGAUCCUGGUGGCUGGGGCAGCAGUGUGACCGUGUAAGCCCACACAUUGCUGUCCUUGUCCCCACCAGCUCCUCUAAGCCCCUGGCUGCCUUUCUUUCCCACACGUGGCAGAAAUGUCCCUGAAUCCCUCAAGGAGGUGACUCUCUUUCAGACGAAGGCUGUGUGAUUCCAGGUCAAGCCAUUCAAGAGAAGCAAGGACUACCACUGCCGCCUCAUCCUUAGCUCAUGAUAUGCCAGCCUAGAAUCUGCACGCAGAGCUCAGGGCUCUGGCUGAGUGGAUGGGGGUGCCUGCCAGCCAUGGCCCUAUGGCAGGCAGGUACCUUCUCUGGACUCUACAGGCACAGCAAAGGUUACCACAGACAGCUGGGCCCAUAGGACUGUGGCUACCACAGGAUGAUGGAGCCUUUGCCUGGCUGAAGAUGGCUUCUCACGAGGAAGGCACAGCAGGGCAGGCUUGGGUCUCUGAAGCCGAGUGUGAACCAGAACGGCCUCAGCCAGGACAUCAUUCCUUUCACCCUCCCAACACACCGCCUGCUUGACGGCUCUCCCCCCUACAAGGCCACCACCAAGCACUGCAGAAAGCCAUCCUCACUUACUGGAAGCAGUUUCUUUCUCCAGCGGUGCCCCGGAGGUACUGUCGCAGGGAGUCCAGGAACUCGCUCAGCUGCUCAGGGCACACGGCCAUUUCCUGCCUGACCAGCUGCAGGUGCUGUGAGCCAAAGUGGGAGUGAACAUGUGUGCUGGGCCCUUACCCAGCCACGGGAGCACAGUUCAAAUCCCGGCAGCCUAUGCCUUGCUUCUGAGAGGUCAAGACCAUGGGGUCAAAAUAAAACCUCCACAUGUCUUAUUCUUACACGUGCAAGUCAGCUAAAGGCCAAAUGGGUAAAGUCCCUGUGGGGCCCCACAAACAGGGCAGUAAGAAGGCUGAAGGGCCCCACCGAGAGGCACAGCCGGUGGCCAGCAGGCUACCUUUCCGACCAAAAACACACAGCCUGAUGACAGAGCGGGCCAGAUGCUUGCUCCACACCAGGCCAAAUGUUUUUUUAUUUUUUAUUUUUUUCUCAGAGUCCCAGAGCCAAGGCUCACCGUGUCCCUUGGGGAGGGGAGGGCAGAGAAGGAUAGCCAGAGACAUGGAGCUACAACACUCCUCAGAAGGCUGGAAGGACAGAGUGGGCACCUCAACAAUCACAGCCUCAGAGCCUGUCUGCCCUGCCAACCGGCGUCCACAUACGCGUGCAAAAGGCCCAUCCCGUUAAAGAAAGCAGCAAGAAAGCAGCGGCAGGGCCUCUGUGAUUCAGUGGCCUCUGAAUCACAUCCCCAGCCUUGACCGACUUCUUGCCCACACAUCUCAAGAAAGUGCUCCGCGGACAAGCCGUGUUCAAGCUCCUUUCUAUCACUUAACGGGCACACGGGGCUGCUCCUGGAAGGCUGGGGGUCCCACCAGGAACCCUUUGGCCUCUCCGUAGUCAGACGGAGAACCCAGCAGUACUCAGACCUGCUGCCCUGCCGGACCAGCUGGGGGCGGAGCCUGGAGCUGGCUUGAACUGGCCCCAUGUUUGUGCUUAGGCCAAUCAGAGACCUCGGAGGACCCCGCCCCAUCUCCAGAACGCCUAGGUGCUCCUGGUUACCAGCAAGCCUGGUUGUUAGGGCGACCGGGGUGCUAAAAAUAAACUUCAAAGCGCCUCCCUCCUGGGGCCCCCACUGAGUUGUUAUGACAACCGGGCACAAGGUCCCCACCGCGCUGCUCUCACCCCGGGCAGCCGGCUUAAAAGGGGCGUGGGAGGGGGGACCCCUGCUUCUGCCACAGUCCUGCAGCUGGCGGGGCCGUAUUGUCUUCCCUCCCGUCGGAUAGCAUCCCAGUGAGAAGGCCCAUGCUUCAUCCCCACCUCACCCCCCAGUCCCGCAGAACGAACACCCAAGCCCCGCUAAGCACCAGCGCUCGUUGCAAAAGAAAUACAGAAAAACAGAAGAAACGUUACCUCAAUCUCAGGGCUCUGACACACCUGUCGCGCGGGGUAGGCAGGUGCGUAGGAGUCCUGCGCGCACACGUGUGGGGAAUUUGGUAAAGGGUGGCUAGCAGCGCUAACAUGGUACUGUUAGAUGCUCGCUGGGAAAGCAGGCUCUGACCUGAGCCACCGGCGCCUUUGGGGGGAACACUGAUCUCCUGUCUCCCCUGUCAUCAGAGCAGGACUUUCAGGCUCAGAGAGGGUAAGCCACUGACUCAAAGGCAAAUAGCAGAAACCCACCUCCAGCGGGGGAACACCUGAGCCCGCCAUCCGCAAGCCCCUUUGAGAGUUCUGCAAAAUCGCACACUGUCCCUAGAGGCGUCUCUGCAUAGGCUGGUCUGCUCCACACGUCCAGGCUGUAUUGCGUGCUCAGCAUCCUCCUGUUUGGAAUCUGCCCUGAACCGUCCCUGACUCCCACUUCCACUUGCUUUUUUACCAUCGGUCCAGGAGCCAGCUUUCUUGGAAAGGUCCAUGGCACAGGACCCUGCUGGUUACUCUGCUCCUGGAAUGCUGCCUGCCCUCCCACAGUCAGGACCAUGGCUCCGGUCCAAGCUCUCUUACAACCGCAACGCGCCAGGGUGUCUCAACUUCCCGGCAAGUUUUAAAGUGGAAAGGGCUGGGAGAAAGGUGCGAUAGGGCUGGGCCGGCCUACCUUGCUCUCCAGUCUCCCAAUCAGCUCUGCCAACCGGCUGAUCUGGCCCUCCAGCCCCUCCUCCUUUGUCUGCCCUGUGGCUGAGAAAGAAAGAGACCUUGGCGGUGGGCAGGGCCAUCCUGAAGGGGCAGAGCCCCGACCUAGGUCCCCUUGGAGGGCCUUGAGUAAUCCUGCUUGCUCACCCACAGG